ACCAUCGAUCUAGGGUUCCAAGCACCCGCCGCCACGCAGGUUUUUUUUAGAUUGUAUCCACCAAUAAUUUCUCGGUCAAUAGUGUCAGAGUAUAGUAGCAGCGGGAAUCUUAGCUGACGUGUGGCGGCCGGUAACAGUGGCACCUGCCUGUCCUGAGUGACGCCAGCCUUCCCACAAAACUUUGCAAACCACACGGUACUUCUCAGCCUGCCGGAAGGCGACGGCCCUGCAUAUAUAUACUACCCUGGGCCCCUGGCUCCCUCCAUCUCCACGACUCCACUCCAAAUCUCCAAGUCGGCAAUGGCUAACGAACCUGGCCCGGUCAUCGGCGACGCCGCCGGCCUUGAUCACGUGCAGCGGCUGUUCCUCGACGUCGGCCGCGUCUCCGUGCUUGGCGGUUGGGUCGUGGUCACCUGCUCGUUCGGCAACCCGGCCGCGGACGCCGCGUACGUCUUCCUCGGCUUUGCUCUCCUGGUCCUCGGCGUCCUCCUGCUUACACUCUCGCCCGCGGCCCACCAGUUCCCGUGGGUCGCGAGGGUUGGCGCUGUCGUCGCGAGAGCCAUCCUUCGCUACCUCUUCGUGCCGGAGGACUAGCUAAUUAAAGCUUCUGAGAACGUGUACAUCCAUGAUCAACAAUAAGGAUAGCUCAAUCUGUGCCUUCUCGUCCGCCGAACCACACGGUGCCACCCUAAGUAUAUGCCCCCUUUCACAAGCACACACAUGUCCCCUCUUUCAUUUAAUAUAUUUCUUUUAAUCAUGCAUUGUCUAAUUAACUAAGAGAGAGAAAGAGGAUGCAAAUACUUGGGGUGGCUGUGGCCGUGUUAUUCUC